GUACUGUCGUGAGCCGGCAGUGAAACGGGCAGGCGUCGUUGUUCGAUUGCCUGUGCUGCCGCUGGUGAGAAGCGGCGGCGCAGUGUGCGUGUCUGAUUCGCUCGCCCAGAUGAGGGGUGAUGCUUUACGUUGACGCCGUUGUUUGAUAUCCGGGUGAAUUUCGUGGUGGUUAUUCCGGGCGAUUCCCGAGGUGUUACAGAUGUUCCGGGCGUACUCCCGAGGUGGUUAGAGGUGUUCUGGGUUCCGGGCGUACUCCCGAGGUGGUUAGAGGUGUUCUGGGUUCCGGGCGUACUCCCGAGGUGGUUAGAGGUGUUCUGGGUUCCGGGCGUACUCCCGAGGUGGUUAGAGGUGUUCCGGGUGAUUCCCGAGGGUUGAAGAGGUUCCGGGCGUACUCCCGAGGUGGUCAGAGAUGUUCCGGGCGAUUCCCGAGGGUUAAGAUGUUCUGGGCGUACUCCCGGGGUGGUUAGAGUCCCGUGACCCGCAAUAGGUCACGACAAAGGGGGUAUCACAUGUAACGGGGCUAUAUUGUGGUGCCAUAGUCAGCCGCAUGGAGGGGGCUACUAAUUUCUGGGAUCCACUUCCGAAGUAUGGUUGCUGUGUGAAUGUGGUUAUCGCUAGCUCAUCACGGAAGCUCCUAAUUGCCUUCAGAGUAGGCCCACUCUGUAGUCAAUUUUGGGCUAUAGGCUGCUUUCAGGAUGACCUGGAUAAUGAACGAGACGUGCAUGAAUGUAAUAAUGUCAGUUGCGGAAGCCCAGAGAUAAUGAUGCUAGCUGCCCAUCCCGACCAUUAAACACUUGCCAAAAAGUCAGAUGAGCUACCCUUGAUCGAUAUUGUUUGUGACCGCUCUGAGUGGGCGUGUUUUGCCGGGCGUGCCCACCAGUCGCACAGCAUCACCAGCUGCUCGUUUAUGACGCUAAACAGUGAAAUCGAUACUCAAUCCCAGAGAGAAUAGCACGGCUCUCAGUACAGCCGACCGACAGCGUGUAGGUGCCACUGCACUCAUCGCUUGGUAACAAUCCAAUUCGGUAAUCGUUUUACA